AAAGGAAGUAAACAACUUCAAUAAAGGCACAGAAGAUCUCCAUAGUUCGUAAGCUGGAGGGACCACCACUUUCUAUCAGAACUUGGACUAUCUUCAGGGGAAGCGCAGCUGGAACCUGCCAUAAAACUUUCCAGGAGGGGUUUUAUUUCUCACACUUCUGGAGGCUGCGAAGUCGAAGAUCAAAGUGCAAAAUACAUGGCAGACACUGGAAUGGUAAGAAGGUGAGUGUGAGCAAUGGCAUAUGCAGACUUGGUUUUCUUUCUUUCUUUCUUUCUUUCUUUCUUUCUUUCUUUCUUUCUUUCUUUCUUUCUUUCUUUCUUUCUUUCUUUCUUUCUUUCUUUCUU
rnacentral:lncRNA from 1 species